rnacentral:snRNA from 8 species
AUACUUACCUGGCAAGGGAGAUACCGUGAUCAAGAAGGCGGUUCACCCAGGGCGAGGCUCAGCCAUUGCACUCCG